GAGGCUAAAGACGGCCAUAUCGACAACAUAAGAAUGGGUGGUCUCAUGACGGGCAUGGUCAACAACAUCUACGAUUCCGAGCCUGUCAAUGAUAUUAUGACUGGAGUUCACCCAAAGAAUACGUGAAGACCUUGGAGCCCUCAAAGAGCCCUUACCUGGCGAGUCAAGCUCACCUCAACUUCGCGAUGAUGAUGCAACUGGGAGGAAGGAUAAUAAAAGAAGAAUAACUAUAUUCUAUAAGCUUUUUCUAGUAGGUGAGCGAGAGAAUAAUUAAUGUAUAAUAAAUGAGGUUAGGGCGAGCAUUGUAUCGGGUAAGAAUCCUGCGAGUUAUAUAGGGUUUUAAUGGAGUAAAGACGAGAUCAUGUAAAAGUGUAGAGGCGUGGCCUGAGGAAAUGCACGUUAGUUUGAUGCACUGAAAACUUAACCCGUAGAAUAUACAAUGGAUUAUUCACUGAUCUACUUGAAUAAAUAUUCAGAUUGGCCCGAAGGAUCACGAAUCAGUAUCUCAAUAAGAUUCUAGGCUAAAUACACAAUAAUUAUCGAGGUUCACUGGAGCAUUUGCGGAUUUAGAUGAACUUCACAAAAUAUCGCUCGAUUCAAUAAGAAACACUAACCGGCAAUAAACACAAGGAAUUACAUACAAGGUUAAUUCAGAACAUACAUUAUUUCAACUUUAUCUGAUUUACUCAAUAAAAUCAGCUCAUCAUAGUGACCUAAAUAAUAAUUAAGGUCGGCAAUCCUGCGGAACCAUUUCAUUAAAAUAUGAAUCAUUAGUUUAAAUCCGCAUAUAAUGAGGCCGUUAGUGACAGAGGUUACCGAAAGGCAAAGGGGACUGUGACGAAUGUUUUAGUACAUUGUUUCUGUUUUCAUGUUGGCAUUUAUAAAAACGUUUUAGUCUAUUCGGAUUGUAGUGAAUACUCAUUAAAUCAAUUUUUUCGCUGCCGGGUGCGUCGCGGACAUUUAAUUUUCUCACGCUAAUAAAAGAUUUUUAUACAGCGUGAAUUACCGAUCUAAAUGUCUUGACCGGAGGUCAGUCGCACCUAAUUGGAAUAUGCAAUUGAUUAACUUUGUUGCUCAAUGUUCUCAAUCAGAAAUGUUUUAAAUAAU